AGAGUUUGAUCCUGGCUCAGGAUGAACGCUGGCGGCGUGCUUAACACAUGCAAGUCGAGCGAAGCGUAUUUGCGGAAGUUUUCGGAUGGAAGCGGAUGCGACUUAGCGGCGGACGGGUGAGUAACGCGUGGGUAACCUGCCUCAUACAGGGGGAUAACAGUUAGAAAUGACUGCUAAUACCGCAUAAGCGCACAGGACCGCAUGGUCCGGUGUGAAAAACUCCGGUGGUAUGAGAUGGACCCGCGUCUGAUUAGCUGGUUGGCGGGGUAACGGCCCACCAAGGCGACGAUCAGUAGCCGACCUGAGAGGGUGGCCGGCCACAUUGGGACUGAGACACGGCCCAAACUCCUACGGGAGGCAGCAGUGGGGAAUAUUGCACAAUGGGGGAAACCCUGAUGCAGCAACGCCGCGUGAGUGAAGAAGUAUUUCGGUAUGUAAAGCUCUAUCAGCAGGGAAGAAAAAAGACGGUACCUGACUAAGAAGCCCCGGCUAACUACGUG
rnacentral:rRNA from 1 species